rnacentral:rRNA from 1 species
AGAACGAACGCUGGCGGCAGGCCUAACACAUGCAAGUCGAACGCCCCGCAAGGGAGUGGCAGACGGGUGAGUAACACGUGGGAACAUACCCUUCGGUUCGGAAUAACUCAGGGAAACUUGAGCUAAUACCGGAUACGUCCUGGCGGAGAAAGAUUUAUCGCCGAAGGAUUGGCCCGCGUCCGAUUAGCUAGUUGGUGAGGUAAUGGCUCACCAAGGCGACGAUCGGUAGCUGGUCUGAGAGGAUGAUCAGCCACAUUGGGACUGAGACACGGCCCAAACUCCUACGGGAGGCAGCAGUGGGGAAUAUUGGACAAUGGGCGCAAGCCUGAUCCAGCCAUGCCGCGUGAGUGAUGACGGCCUUAGGGUUGUAAAGCUCUUUCGUCAGGGACGAUAAUGACGGUACCUGAAGAAGAAGCCCGGCUAACUUCGCGCCAGCAGCCGC